rnacentral:rRNA from 1 species
AGAGUUUCAUCCUGGCUCAGGACGAACGCUGGCGGCGUGCCUAAUACAUGCAAGUCGAGCGGACAGAUGGGAGCUUGCUCCCUGAUGUUAGCGGCGGACGGGUGAGUAACACGUGGGUAACCUGCCUGUAAGACUGGGAUAACUCCGGGAAACCGGGGCUAAUACCGGAUGCUUGUUUGAACCGCAUGGUUCAAACAUAAAAGGUGGCUUCGGCUACCACUUACAGAUGGACCCGCGGCGCAUUAGCUAGUUGGUGAGGUAACGGCUCACCAAGGCAACGAUGCGUAGCCGACCUGAGAGGGUGAUCGGCCACACUGGGACUGAGACACGGCCCAGACUCCUACGGGAGGCAGCAGUAGGGAAUCUUCCGCAAUGGACGAAAGUCUGACGGAGCAACGCCGCGUGAGUGAUGAAGGUUUUCGGAUCGUAAAGCUCUGUUGUUAGGGAAGAACAAGUACCGUUCGAAUAGGGCGGCACCUUGACGGUACCUAACCAGAAAGCCACGGCUAACUACGUGCCAGCAGCCGCGGUAAUACGUAGGUGGCAAGCGUUGUCCGGAAUUAUUGGGCGUAAAGGGCUCGCAGGCGGUUCCUUAAGUCUGAUGUGGAAGCCCCCGGCUCAACCGGGGAGGGUCAUUGGAAACUGGGGAACUUGAGUGCAGAAGAGGAGAGUGGAAUUCCACGUGUAGCGGUGAAAUGCGUAGAGAUGUGGGAGGAACACCAGUGGCGAAGGCGACUCUCUGGUCUGUAACUGACGCUGAGGAGCGAAAGCGUGGGGAGCGAACAGGAUUAGAUACCCUGGUAGUCCACGCCGUAACGAUGAGUGCUAAGUGUUAAGGGGUUUCCGCCCCUUAGUGCUGCAGCUAACGCAUUAAGCACUCCGCCUGGGGGAGUACGGUCGCAAGACUGAACUCAAGGAAUUGACGGGGCCCGCACAAGCGGUGGAGCAUGGUGGUUAAUUCGAAGCAACGCGAAGAACUUACCAGGUCUUUGACAUCCUCUGACAAUUCCUA